CUCGUAGGCGGCCAACUCAGUCGGACGUGAAAUCCCUCGGCUUAACCGGGGAACUGCGUCCGAUACUGGAUGGCUCGAGUGCGGGAGAGGGAUGCGGAAUUCCAGGUGUAGCGGUGAAAUGCGUAGAUAUCUGGAGGAACACCGGUGGCGAAGGCGGCAUCCUGGACUACUACUGACGCUGAGGAGCGAAAGCCAGGGGAGCAAACG
rnacentral:rRNA from 1 species